GAUAAAAUGGCUGAAAAAAGGUAAUAAAUUGUAAAUUUAUUGAUGAAAUUAAUUAUUUCUUUUAUCA
rnacentral:tRNA from 1 species